GUGUUUGCUUUGGUGGCACAUAUACUAAAAUUGAAACAGUACAGAGAAGAUUAGCAUGGCCCAUGCAGAAGGGUGACAUGCAAAUUCAUGAAGCAUUCCAUAUGUAA